rnacentral:rRNA from 1 species
CAGUCGCCGCGGUAAUACGUAGGGUGCAAGCGUUAAUCGGAAUUACUGGGCGUAAAGCGUGCGCAGGCGGUCCGCUAAGACAGAUGUGAAAUCCCCGGGCUUAACCUGGGAACUGCAUUUGUGACUGGCGGGCUAGAGUAUGGCAGAGGGGGGUAGAAUUCCACGUGUAGCAGUGAAAUGCGUAGAGAUGUGGAGGAAUACCGAUGGCGAAGGCAGCCCCCUGGGCCAAUACUGACGCUCAUGCACGAAAGCGUGGGGAGCAAACAGGAUUAGAUACCCGCGUAGUCCCUGUCUCUUAUAA